AUGCCUUAAACUGAUUAGUAAGGAAAAUAAUGACACAGGGUGGCACCUGUGUCCUCAUUUAGUUUAUGAGGUGAAUUUUUAGAUGAAUUUUUGUUAGGCAGCAUGGUGGCCCAUUGGUUAUUGCUGUUGCCUCACAG